rnacentral:rRNA from 1 species
GAACGCUGGCGGCGUGCUUAACACAUGCAAGUCGAACGAUGAAGCCCCUCGGGGUGGAUUAGUGGCGAACGGGUGAGUAACACGUGGGCAAUCUGCCCUUCACUCUGGGACAAGCCCUGGAAACGGGGUCUAAUACCGGAUAACACCGGCUUCCGCAUGGAAGCUGGUUGAAAGCUCCGGCGGUGAAGGAUGAGCCCGCGGCCUAUCAGCUUGUUGGUGGGGUAAUGGCCUACCAAGGCGACGACGGGUAGCCGGCCUGAGAGGGCGACCGGCCACACUGGGACUGAGACACGGCCCAGACUCCUACGGGAGGCAGCAGUGGGGAAUAUUGCACAAUGGGCGAAAGCCUGAUGCAGCGACGCCGCGUGAGGGAUGACGGCCUUCGGGUUGUAAACCUCUUUCAGCAGGGAAGAAGCGAGAGUGACGGUACCUGCAGAAGAAGCGCCGGCUAACUACGUGCCAGCAGCCGCGGUAAUACGUAGGGCGCAAGCGUUGUCCGGAAUUAUUGGGCGUAAAGAGCUCGUAGGCGG